UGCGUAGGUGGCAAGCGUUGUCCGGAAUUAUUGGGCGUAAAGCGCGCGCAGGCGGUUUCUUAAGUCUGAUGUGAAAGCCCACGGCUUAACCGUGGAAGGUCAUUGGAAACUGGGAGACUUGAGUGCAGAAGAGAAGAGCGGAAUUCCACGUGUAGCGGUGAAAUGCGUAGAGAUGUGGAGGAACACCAGUGGCGAAGGCGGCUCUUUGGUCUGUAACUGACGCUGAGGCGCGAAAGCGUGGGGAUCAAACAGG
rnacentral:rRNA from 1 species